GCGUCAUUGCAUCCCUCAAGCGUAGCUUGGUAUUGGGUUUUCGCCCCCGCGGCGUGCCCGAAAAUCAGUGGUGGUCCGGUGCGACUUUAAGCGUAGUAAAUUUCCAUCCCGCUUUGAAAGUUCGCCCCGUGUCCGGCCAGACAACCCCGUAUUUUUCAAUGAUUGACCUCGGAUCAGGUAGGGAUACCCGCUGAACUUAA
rnacentral:misc_RNA from 1 species